rnacentral:rRNA from 1 species
UGACCCUUUAAGAGUCCUGAAGGAACGUUGAAGACGACGACGUUGAUAGGCCGGGUGUGUAAGCGCAGCGAUGCGUUGAGCUAACCGGUACUAAUGAACCGUGAGGCUUAACCUUACAACGCCGAAGCUGUU